CAGCAGUGGGGAAUUUUGGACAAUGGGGGCAACCCUGAUCCAGCAAUGCCGCGUGAGUGAAGAAGGCCUUCGGGUUGUAAAGCUCUUUUGUCAGGGAAGAAACACCGGCUCUAACACAGUCCGGGACUGACGGUACCUGAAGAAUAAGCACCGGCUAACUACGUG
rnacentral:rRNA from 1 species